CACGGGGGGAGCAAGCGUUGUUCGGAAUCACUGGGCGUAAAGGGCGUGUAGGCGGUCAAGUAAGUGGAAUGUGAAAGCCCCCGGCUUACCCGGGGAUCUGCAUCCCAAACUGCUUGGCUUGAGUACGGGAGAGGAUAGGGGAAUUCCUGGUGUAGCGGUGAAAUGCGUAGAUAUCAGGAGGAACACCAAUUGCGAAGGCAGCUCGCUGGGACGUUACUGACGCUGAGACGCGAAAGCGUGGGGAGCAAACAGG
rnacentral:rRNA from 1 species